GACGAACGCUGGCGGCGUGCUUAACACAUGCAAGUCGAACGGAAAGGCCCUGCUUGUGUGGGGUGCUCGAGUGGCGAACGGGGGAGUAACACGUGAGUAACCUGCCCUUGACUUUGGGAUAACUUCAGGAAACUGGGGCUAAUACCGGAUAGGAGCUCCUGCUGCAUGGUGGGGGUUGGAAAUUUUCGGCGGUUGGGGAUGGACUCGCGGCUUAUCAGCUUGUUGGUGGGGUAGUGGCUUACCAAGGCUUUGACGGGUAGCCGGCCUGAGAGGGUGACCGGCCACAUUGGGACUGAGAUACGGACCAGACUCCUACGGGAGGCAGCAGUGGGGAAUAUUGCACAAUGGGCGGAAGCCUGAUGCAGCAACGCCGCGUGCGGGAUGACGGCCUUCGGGUUGUAAACCGCUUUCGCCUGUGACGAAGCGUGAGUGACGGUAAUGGGUAAAGAAGCACCGGCUAACUACGUG
rnacentral:rRNA from 1 species